rnacentral:rRNA from 1 species
UUGGCGGACGGGUGAGUAAUGCAUAGGAAUCUGCCCGAUAGUGGGGGAUAACCUGGGGAAACCUAGGCUAAUACCGCAUACGUCUACGGGAGAAAGGGGGCUUCGGCUCCCGCUAUCGGAUGAGCCUAUGUCGGAUUAGCUGGUCGGUGAGGUAAAGGCUCACCAAGGCGACGAUCCGUAGCUGGUCUGAGAGGAUGAUCAGCCGCAUCGGGACUGAGACACGGCCCGAACUCCUACGGGAGGCAGCAGUGGGGAAUAUUGGACAAUGGGGGGAACCCUGAUCCAGCCAUGCCGCGUGUGUGAAGAAGGCCCUCGGGUUGUAAAGCACUUUCAGUGAGGAAGAACGCCUGGUGGUUAAUACCCAUCAGGAAAGACAUCACUCACAGAAGAAGCACCGGCUAACUCCGUGCCAGCAGCCGCGGUAAUACGGAGGGUGCGAGCGUUAAUCGGAAUUACUGGGCGUAAAGCGCGCGUAGGUGGCUUGAUAAGCCGGUUGUGAAAGCCCCGGGCUCAACCUGGGAACGGCAUCCGGAACUGUCAAGCUAGAGUGCAGGAGAGGAAGGUAGAAUUCCCGGUGUAGCGGUGAAAUGCGUAGAGAUCGGGAGGAAUACCAGUGGCGAAGGCGGCCUUCUGGACUGACACUGACACUGAGGUGCGAAAGCGUGGGUAGCAAACAGGAUUAGAUACCCUGGUAGUCCACGCCGUAAACGAUGUCGACCAGCCGUUGGGUGCCUAGCGCACUUUGUGGCGAAGUUAACGCGAUAAGUCGACCG